GAUCCACUGGUCUAGAGGUUACGACGUCUCGUUCACACCGAGAAGGUCCCGAGUUCGAACCUCGGGUGGAUCA